AGUCACGAAGCGUAUACAACAGGAUGUUCAAAGGUUUUUGGAUGGGGGCCUUUCAUUUGGGCAACUUUAUUGGUCCCACCGUGGGUGGAAUAAUGGUAAACACCAUCGGAUUCCCUCAAACCAGUCAAAUCUCAAUCUUGGUGUCCCUUUUGAUGGUAAUUCUGGAUUGCAUUCAUUACUUCUUUCAAGUCAAGGGAGAGAAGGCACAACUCGAGUAUGAGAAUAUUUCGUAACAUUUCAUCUGACAGAUAUUGUUUCAUGCCGUUUAUUACUUUUUGUUCUUCUGAGUUACAACAGUUAAUAAAUCUCGGCGCCACAGUUAUGAAUAGCAUUCAUAACUGAUUCAUUCA